rnacentral:rRNA from 1 species
UAGGGAAUCUUCGGCAAUGGGGGGAACCCUGACCGAGCAACGCCGCGUGAGUGAAGAAGGUUUUCGGAUCGUAAAGCUCUGUUGUUAAGGAAGAACGAGUGUGAGAAUGGAAAGUUCAUACUGUGACGGUACUUAACCAGAAAGGGACGGCUAACUACGUGCCAGCAGCCGCGGUAAUACGUAGGUCCCGAGCGUUGUCCGGAUUUAUUUGGCGUAAAGCGAGCGCAGGCGGUUAGAUAAGUCUGAAGUUAAAGGCAGUGGCUCAACCAUUGUAGGCUUUGGAAACUGUUUAACUUGAGUGCAGAAGGGGAGAGUGGAAUUCCAUGUGUAGCGGUGAAAUGCGUAGAUAUAUGGAGGAACACCGGUGGCGAAAGCGGCUCUCUGGUCUGUAACUGACGCAGAGGCUCGAAAGCGUGGGGAGCGAACAGG